UACGUAGGGCGCAAGCGUUGUCCGGAAUUAUUGGGCGUAAAGAGCUCGUAGGUGGCUUGUCACGUCGGGUGUGAAAGCUUGGGGCUUAACUCCAGGUCUGCAUUCGAUACGGGCUGGCUAGAGGUAGGUAGGGGAGAACGGAAUUCCUGGUGUAGCGGUGGAAUGCGCAGAUAUCAGGAGGAACACCGAUGGCGAAGGCAGAUCUCUGGGCCGUAACUGACGCUGAGGAGCGAAAGCAUGGGGAGCGAACAGG
rnacentral:rRNA from 1 species